rnacentral:rRNA from 1 species
UACGGGGGGGGCAAGCGUUGUUCGGAAUUACUGGGCGUAAAGGGCUCGUAGGCGGCCAACUAAGUCGGUCGUGAAAUCCCUCGGCUUAACCGGGGAACUGCGUCCGAUACUGGAUGGCUUGAGGUUGGGAGAGGGAUGCGGAAUUCCAGGUGUAGCGGUGAAAUGCGUAGAUAUCUGGAGGAACACCGGUGGCGAAGGCGGCAUCCUGGACCAAUUCUGACGCUGAGGAGCGAAAGCCAGGGGAGCAAACGGG